rnacentral:sRNA from 1 species
GAACGGGCCCUCGCCGGGUUCACGGGUGGCCGGAGGGCAGUCGCUUCGGCGGGCACCCCACGGGUCCCCGAGGCGGGCCGUGUAUCCGCAGCCCUGCACUCUCGGCGUUGCGGGCCGACCAAGGGCGGCGGUGCCGCGGGUGAAACGGGCGAUCGGGAGGUACCGCAGCCGGCUUCGGUCGGAGGCGAACUUACGAGCCGGUCGUUCCUGUAGCCCGCGGGCCGCCGAGGAGAGGGCGACUGGUCGUCCCCUCAGCGCAGGCCCUCAGGGGCCGGAGCGCUUCUGACCGUGCAGCCGUCGCUCCGCGAAGACUGUUCGCAGUGUCCGGCGGUGGCGUGCGCGUUCGGUCGGGAGGUCGUCUCACGUCAUGCGCU